GGGGUUGUAGCUCAGCAGUAGAGCGCUCACCUAGCACGUGUGAGGCCUGGAUUUGAUCCUCAGCACCA
rnacentral:tRNA from 1 species